CGAGUUUCCUGAGUUCCUUAGUUUCCUGAGUGUCCUGAGUUUUCGAGUUGCAUGAGUCUUGUGUUUCCGUGUUCCUCGUGUUUCGUUCCCGUUGCCUUUCACCGUCGUUUCCUGCCUGACCCUGGACUACUAUCAGACCGCCCUGAUGAUGGCGACCCUCAGACUCUGUUGAUGGCUCCACCUCUAGAGACCCUGCUUCAGGCCAAUGUCAAGUUGGGAACACAGACUCUGGCAGACGAAUGGUUCCACCUGUAGCCAUGGAGUCUGGUUUGGACCUGAUGGCAGCCGUGCCGCCCAAACACUUUUUCCCUCACUUUGCUGAGUUGACACAUGGUUUGGACCACGUUUCAAAAGGGGGGAUACAUGAUUAAGCUUUGCACCAUUCAGAUUUCCCAACAGGUGAAAACAGGCGACAGGACCAUUACACCAUCCAACCAGGGCACUGGGCGAUCGUUAAGGAGUUCAGGAGGAAGCACUAGGACUCCAAACGGUGGUGAGGCCCCUUCCAGGUCCUUCUGACGACCCACGGGUAGAGAUGUCCAACUCGAGACCUCCCACUCGACUCAGCGUCGAUCUUUUGAAGCGGAAGUGUCGUCAAGCAGAAUCUCGAGCGCGUUCCGAAUCACGUGACCAAUGAGAGCGAGAGGUGUUGAUACGUCACGUGACUGCCGAGCGGCUUAAGUGCACUUUGAACGGACGGUUGUUUUAAUAUGGCAGAGCUUUAUAAACGUGGCAAGCGGUCCGCAGAUGAUCUAUAAGAUGAUAGAUGAUCUAUAAGAGACACAGGUUUCACAUUACAGACAUCUGUAAUGUAUUUAUGACAAGUUCAAAAUGUAAUUAAAGACUAAAACUACAUUUUGACAAGUCGCAAUUCCAAUACAAAUAUCUUUAUUAGUCAGACAUCAGUGCCGUGCAAACGGCUCUUCUCCAAAGAGAAUGUGAUUAAAGUCAUGUUCUGUGGAAAAAUAAAAUGAAAUAAAGGUCUUUGAUUAAACUGACAAACAUGUCUCCUCAAUGUAGUAAUAAACAUAGUUGCAGAAGAACAAAUACAGCUCUAAUAACAUCGGACAUCAAAC